AAGGAUUUAAGUUAAAUUAAAAACUUAGAACCUUCAAAGUUCUCAAUAAAGGUAUCUUUAAGCCUUA
rnacentral:tRNA from 1 species